AUUGUUAUAUCGUUUUUACAAAUUUGUAAUCACAAAAUUUUCAUUUGUACACCUUAUUAAACACUAUGAAAUCCAUUUUCUAUCUGUGGGUGCUGGUGUGACGCCACACGGACAUCCGCAAUUUUUAAAUGGCUUUUGUGAGCAGAUGGUGGGUGUACAAAUGAAUAUUGCGUGAUUACAAAUCUGUACAAACAAUAUAACAAU